rnacentral:misc_RNA from 1 species
UGGCUCUCGCAUCGAUGAAGAACGCAGCGAAAUGCGAUAAGUAAUGUGAAUUGCAGAAUUCAGUGAAUCAUCGAAUCUUUGAACGCACCUUGCACCCUUUGGUAUUCCGAAGGGUACACCCGUUUGAGUGUCAUUGUAAUCUCACCACCAUGGACUUUGGUCUUUCGGUGUGUGGACUUGGAUGCUGCCGUGAUACCCACGACUCGUCUUAAAUGCAUGAGUGUACCCCGCUUUGCGGCGUAUUCGGUGUGAUACAUCUUCACCGGAGUUGAUCCUUUUGGGUCGCGUCUGUAAUGGUGUGGCUCUAUGCUUCCAACCGUCUCCCAGAGACAAGCUUUGACAAUUUGACCUCGAAUCGGGUGGGACUACCCGCUGA